GCUUACUCAAGGUCACACAGGAAAUAAGUAGAAAACCUGGUCCAUCUGAUUCCAAAUCUGUCUUUUUUUUUUCAUGAUAUUCUUCCAUACUUGAAUCUUUACCCUUACUGUCCUUUCUUUCCUGUCUCAGUGAAAGAGAUUGCUCUCCUUGUUAAGGCCAAUCUCUCUCCCUUGGCAUUGGCACCUAUUGAAUUGUAUGGAGUUGGAUUGAAUUGAAUAGACAACCUUAAACCAAAUCAAGAGUUUGUACAAAAAGCUAAAGUAUUGGAAGGGAAGAGUCUCAAUUAUGUGAGAUUAAUUCCAUCUCACUAUAAAAAUAUAAGUUGCUAUUAAAUUUGGACUCUGGCAUUGUAAUCUUUAUGAAAUCAUUCUCGUGAGGAUUUCAACAUGGCAGACCCACAUCUCAAUAUAAAUUGAAUAUCGGGAGUUGUUCUUUUCCAUUUGGCAGCUAUUGAUUUCCUCUCUCCACUGGUGUUGAAUUGAAGCUACUGCCUUGGGAUAGUGACUCCAAUGAAUCUAAUUCUUUAUCAUCUUCAAACAUCUUGGCUCAGACCUCUGUCUCAUUGAUUGGUGACAGCAGAGUUCCAAGAAUGGAGCACCAGUCAGUGAUUCAGUGUGAUCUCUACUCCAAACACAUGAAGACUUCUGACAGAAUGUGCAGAUAAGAACCCUUUGUUCCAAUGGCCCUGAAAGUAGCUGAAGCAAACACUGUGGAAUGCUUCCUAUGUGGUUAGAUCCUGAAGAUGCCAAGGAACCUAUGAAAUCUAUCAUUGAGCCUAUUGGAGAAAUUUCUGGACUUCAUGUUAAGAACUUUUGGUUUAAAGCAUCAUGGUAGAGUGGAAACCACAUAAGUCUGGGAGUAAAUAUUAUUGCAAUCUUAUGG
rnacentral:lncRNA from 1 species